CAGACUGACCUCCGCUUCUAGAGCCAUGCGGUGCUGGCCCUUCAGGAGGCUGUAGAGGCCUACCUGGCGGGUCUCUUCGAGGACACCAACCUGUGCGCCAUCCAUGCCAAGCGCGUGACCAUCAUGCCCAAGGACAUUCAGCUGGCUAGGAGGAUCCGUGGCGAGAGGGCUUAG
rnacentral:rRNA from 1 species